AUCAUUACAAAAUGUCAUUGCAGAUUUCAAUGUCCCUAUGGAAUUCCUAGGAUAUCAUUCAAUGAAGAAAUGAGGUGGCAGCUCCUAUUUUCUUUGCCAAGGCAUGGGGAGUUUAGUUCGGCUCAAAAUCCAUCCUUGAGUAAAUGGUAGAAGAGGUCAAAUGGUCAGCUUUGGCAUUAUGAAUAGAAACUGAAAUUAUGUAUAUUAUAUCUCUAAGGGUUGAAUUUAUGGGGCAAGGGA
rnacentral:lncRNA from 1 species